rnacentral:lncRNA from 1 species
AUUAAUUCUCUAAUUCAAUUGGACUAGUAGACAGUCCCUUAAAAAUACUAAUGCCUCAAGAAAUGUGAUGUAAUUUUUGCUCUUUAAGGGUGAGAUUUACAAAGACGACGAUAUAUUAUUCUCGAUAUUAAUCUAUUAUUUUGCCAUUUAAUGUAUGGGUUUCCUGACAGUUCUGUAAGUAUUGCACUUUAAUCGUUUUUCAUUUAUUUUUUUAUUGGACGAUGAGCUGCAUUCUUUGUAAAACGAGGAUAAAAAAGUCAGACUUUAGUUCCAAAUACUGCAAAAAAUAAAAAUAAAUGAAAUGGCAUAUGGCACCAUCAGAUUACAGUGAGCACAGAUUCUGCUGUAGAUUGGAUGCUUUGCAACGUUUUUUUAAUUGCAGGUCAGCUAGGGAUUGUUGAAGAUACGUGGAAUUGUUUUUUUGUUGUUAUUGUCUCUCCGUCGCGAGUAUUACAAAGGGUUAGAGGUACACCCACAGCACAGUGCACAAGUCAGUGAAAGGAAGACGUCAAGGUCUUGAGGUAAAGAGGUCAGGAUUGUAUUAAAAACCAGAACAACGCACUUGGCGAUCAGUGACGGAGCUGUGUCGUGUAGGAAAGCAUGGCUACUGUCCACAGGGGCGAUUCGCCUCUGUUAGGAUUGCGAGACGCCCCGAUUGAUGGAAAAACACACUCGUCCUCGUUUUUUACGAAUAAAAUUGGAGGUCUACCGGACGUUUUCCCUUCCUUGACAGUGCACUAUCCGCGCUGCUCUGUGUGCAGCGGAGUACUUGCUCACGUUGUGCAAGUAUACUGCCCCCUGGAGGGGUCUCCCUAUCACCGCACCAUAAAUGUAUUCGCUUGCCCGAGUCCAGCGUGCUAUGGAAACUCACUCAGGUGAAGAAAAUUCAGAUUUAUUCUUUUAACCCCUAUUGGUGGAGUGGUGGUUGGGUUUGUUUUUUAACAAGAUACUCAAAACAGUAUAAAAACAUCAUCUUACAGUCUUUAACCUUGCCUUUUUUUACUUCAGUUCUGGUGCAGGAUACCAACACCGGUGUCCCACCAGCUAGAGCACGUACUGUAUCUUCAAAAUAAAGACUGACCAAAAAAGAAAAUAAUACACAUCUUCACACAUAAGGCGUUAGGAUCAAAACUGAAUAAUUUAACAAAUUUAAUUUGAAUUUAACUGGUUAAAAGCACUGUUUUGACCCAGGUGUGGGCCAUAAAAAUCGGAUAGUGAUUGCAGUUGCCAUAGUGACAGAGCUGCUCAAGGCCUCACUCAGAAAGCCUGAAACAGGUAACACUGAGGUGCUUUUCUAGAUGCACCAGGGGUAAGAGCCAGGUAGACACAAAUGAUGGAAGAUUGUUUCUGAUGAUUUACUCUGGUAAAUUACCUUCAUGGUAAAUCAUUAGAACCAUAAUAAAGGAUAAACAUUCAGCCUCCAGAGCAAAAGAUAAUACAGAGGAAGAGGAAAGGGAGACAGGGAGACGAACAGAGGAGAAGACAGAUAAAGGAAGACCAUCACUCUUCUCUUCAGAAGCUUGUGCCAUGAAAGAGGACCUUGUUCUGCUCAGUCUUUUGAGAAUAGAUUAUGGCUAGUUAAUCUACAUAAUCUCUGUUACUGUAGAGACCUUGCUGUUUUAUUUUGAUUUUGUAUAUUGUGAAAUUCUCUUAGUUUGACUAUUAAUUCUUAGAAUAGGUAGACUUUUUUCCCAGUGAAUUUAUGGGUAUUUACGUUGUAGGAAGGAAGAUUUGGUUCUGAAUAGUGUUUAUUUGGACACAAGUUUUUAUUUCUUAUUUUGGUCACCAUAGUUGGUCACCAUAGUUGCAUGCUGUUUUGAGAUCAUUGGGAUAGAACUCUGUAUUUCUAGGCCUGUAGGAAUUAUCCCUCUGGCACACGUCGACUUGUGUAAUUGUGUAAUGUUGUGUAGCUGUUAAUUAUUGUUAAUAAUUAUGACCAUACAGGUUUGACUCUGAUUAAUUAUGCUCUCACCAGAGUUGUCCUGAAGAAUAAAAAGAACUGUUAUUUCCUGACCCAGCUAUUUUGCAACAGUAUCAUUAUUCCAAAAUCUUUAUUCAGAGACAAUGAAGAGAUGAUAUAAAACCUUGAACACUCCAAUACUUAUCAUUUCAGUCACUGUAAUGACAUAAUCAUUUUACGUGCAGAUACUUUUGAGUUACACCCUGGCUUGAAAUUUCUAUUAAUGCUAAAAUACCAAAUCAGCUGUCUUCUGUUUUGGUUUUGUUUUUAGCUGGAAAGUGUUGCG